AAUGAACGCUGGCGGAAUGCUUUACACAUGCAAGUCGAACGGUAGAGGGGGCAACCCCUCGAGAGUGGCGAAAGGGUGAGUAAUAUAUCGGUACGUGCCCAGUCGAGGGGGAUAACGUAGCGAAAGUUACUCUUAUAGCGCAUACGAGCUAAGGAUGAAAGCGGGGGAUCGCAAGACCUCGCGCGUUUGGAGCGUCCGAUAUCAGAUUAGGUAGUUGGUGGGGUAAAGGCUCACCAAGCCAACGAUCUGUAGAUGGUCUGAGAGGACGACCAGCCACACUGGAACUGAGACACGGUCCAGACUCCUACGGGAGGCAGCAGUGGGGAAUUUUGGACAAUGGACGCAAGUCUGAUCCAGCCAUUCCGCGUGCAGGAUGAAGGCCCUCGGGUUGUAAACUGCUUUUGUACGGAACGAAAAGGUCUCUCUUAAUACGGGGGACUCAUGACGGUACCGUAAGAAUAAGCACCGGCUAACUACGUGCCAGCCGCCGCGGUAA
rnacentral:rRNA from 1 species